UGACAUGGGCCUUGUUCCUAUCUUGUUGGU
rnacentral:piRNA from 1 species